rnacentral:rRNA from 1 species
GGCGAACGGGUGCGUAACACGUGGGUAAUCUGCCCUGAAGAGCGGGAUAACUCGCCGAAAGGCGAGCUAAUACCGCAUAAGCUCACGGGGACUUCGGUUCCUGGGAGAAAAGGUCGCAAGACGCUACAGGAUGAGCCCGCGGCCCAUCAGCUAGUUGGCGGGGUAACGGCCCACCAAGGCGAAGACGGGUAGCUGGUCUGAGAGGACGGCCAGCCACACUGGAACUGAGACACGGUCCAGACUCCUACGGGAGGCAGCAGUGGGGAAUCUUGCGCAAUGGGCGAAAGCCUGACGCAGCGACGCCGUGUGUGCGAUGAAGGUCUUCGGAUCGUAAAGCACUGUCGCCCGGGACAAAGAAAGUGAUGGUACCGGGAGAGGAAGCACCGGCUAACUCUGUGCCAGCAGCCGCGGUAAUACAGAGGGUGCGAGCGUUGUUCGGAAUUAUUGGGCGUAAAGCGCUGGUAGGUGGCUUGUUAAGUCGCUUGUGAAAGCUCCAGGCUCAACCUGGAAAGUGCGGGCGAAACUGGCGAGCUUGAGUGCCGGAGAGGGUCGCGGAAUUCCCAGUGUAGAGGUGAAAUUCGUAGAUAUUGGGAGGAACACCAGAGGCGAAGGCGGCGACCUGGAAGGUAACUGACACUGAGCAGCGAAAAGCGUGGGGAGCAUACAGGAUUAGAUACCCUGGUAGUCCACGCCGUAAACGAUGGGUGCUAGCUGUGGCGGGAGUUGACCCCUGCCGUGGCGACGCCAACGCAAUAAGCACCCCGCCUGGGAAGUACGGCCGCAAGGCUAAAACUCAAAGGAAUUGACGGGGGCCCGCAC